rnacentral:tRNA from 1 species
AUUUAAAUAGUUUAUUUAAAACGUUAAUUUGUGGAAUUAAAAAUAUAAUAAGAUUAUUUUAAAUC